AUCACAUUGGAAAACCGGUUUCCAUACGAUUACCGAAGUUAAGCAGCGCCGAACCUGGUCAGUACCUAGGUGAGUGACCGCUUGAGGAUACCAGGUGUUGUAA